rnacentral:rRNA from 1 species
GAUGAACGCUAGCGGCAGGCCUAUACAUGCAAGUCGAACGGUGUCUUCGGACAUAGUGGCGCACGGGUGCGUAACACGUAUGCAACCUACCUUACAUUGGGGGAUAGCCUUUCGAAAGGGAGAUUAAUACCGCAUAAGACAGUAACUAGGCAUCUAGUAGCUGUUAAAGAUUUAUCGAUGUAAGCUGGGCAUGCGUCCAAUUAGCUAGUUGGCGAGGUAACGGCUCACCAAGGCUAUGAUUGGUAGGGGAACUGAGAGGUCAAUCCCCCACACUGGCACUGAGAUACGGGCCAGACUCCUACGGGAGGCAGCAGUAGGGAAUAUUGGGCAAUGGACGCAAGUCUGACCCAGCCAUGCCGCGUGCAGGAUGAAGGCGUUAUGCGUUGUAAACUGCUUUUAUACAGGAAGAAACGACUCUUGCGAGAGGCAUUGACGGUACUGUAUGAAUAAGCACCGGCUAACUCCGUGCCAGCAGCCGCGGUAAUACGGAGGGUGCAAGCGUUGUCCGGAUUUAUUGGGUUUAAAGGGUGCGCAGGUGGUUUAUUAAGUCAGUGGUGAAAGACGGUCGCUCAACGAUUGCAGUGCCAUUGAAACUGGUAGACUUGAGUAAAGUAGAGGUGGGCGGAAUUGAUAGUGUAGCGGUGAAAUGCAUAGAUAUUAUCAAGAACUCCAAUUGCGUAGGCAGCUCACUUGGCUUUUACUGACACUCAUGCACGAAAGUGUGGGUAUCAAACAGGAUUAGAUACCCUGGUAGUCCACACUGUAAACGAUGAUAACUAGGUGUCGGCCGAAUCUGGUCGGUGCCACAGCGAAAGCGUUAAGUUAUCCACCUGGGGAGUACGCCGGCAACGGUG